rnacentral:rRNA from 1 species
UCGGGAAUAUUGCGCAAUGGAGGAAACUCUGACGCAGUGACGCCGCGUAUAGGAAGAAGGUUUUCGGAUUGUAAACUAUUGUCGUUAGGGAAGAAAAAGGACAGUACCUAAGGAGGAAGCUCCGGCUAACUACGUGCCAGCAGCCGCGGUAAUACGUAGGGAGCGAGCGUUAUCCGGAUUUAUUGGGUGUAAAGGGUGCGUAGACGGGCAUACAAGUUAGUUGUGAAAUCCCUCGGCUUAACUGAGGAACUGCAACUAAAACUGUAAGUCUUGAGUGCAGGAGAGGUAAGUGGAAUUCCUAGUGUAGCGGUGAAAUGCGUAGAUAUUAGGAGGAACACCAGUGGCGAAGGCGACUUACUGGACUGUAACUGACGUUGAGGCACGAAAGUGUGGGGAGCAAACA